GAAAUGCGAUAAGUAAUGUGAAUUGCAGAAUUCAGUGAAUCAUCGAAUCUUUGAACGCACAUUGCGCCCGCCAGUAUUCUGGCGGGCAUGCCUGUUCGAGCGUCAUUUCAACCAUCAAGCCCCGCGCUUGUGUUGGGGACCUGCGGCUGCCGCAGGCCCUGAAAACCAGUGGCGGGCUCGCUGUCACACCGGGCGUAGUAGAUUUUAUCUCGCUCAGGGCGUGCUGCGGGUUCCGGCCGUUAAAAAGCCUUUUUUACCCAAGGUUGACCUCGGAUCAGGUAGGAACACCCGCUGAACUUAAGC
rnacentral:misc_RNA from 1 species